GGGCUAUAAAGUAGAGCUUCUGAUUGACUGCCUCAUUUGACUGCCUCUGGAUAUCCGGAUUAUCUGACAAUUCUACGCGUCAGAUUCCGACGCGUAGGGUAACCCGCGAUUAUACGCGCUAGUUAAGUAGCGCGGGAGCCUCCUUUCCAUACCGCGCAGCGGAAGAGCGCGCAUAAAGUAGGAGUGUGAAGAAAUAAGAGUGUGAAGAAAUAAGAGUGUGAAGAAAUAAGAGUGUGAAGAAAU
rnacentral:lncRNA from 1 species